UCACGCAGUCGGAGUCGUGGUAGGAGGUCCAGAUCAGCUUCGUAUCGUAGGUCCCGGUCUAUUUCUCCUCGUAGGUCUAGGUCUGUGUCUCCCCGCCGGUCCCGGUCUGGUUCCUUGAAGAGAUCAAGGUCUAGGUCAAGAUCCAGAUCUAGAUCCAGAUCUGUUACAUGGCCCCGAAGCAGGUCUAGGUCUCAUGGCAGAUCAAAAUCUGGCUCACCAGCUAAGAGUCGGUCAAAGUCCCGAUCGCCGUCUCCAAAGAGAAGUCAUUCACCAUCAGGAAGCCCUCAAAGAAGUGCAAGUCCUGAAAGAAUGGAUUAAAGUUAUGAAGUUAAUCUUUUAGGAAGAAAGUUAUUUUGCUUACAUUAUUAUAAGGGAUUUUGUGGUGUCUUUGUAAAUGUAAGAAUGUAGAUAGAACAGUAUAUCAACUGAAAUUUGGCAUGGUCUGGGUCUCCUGAGUUACCACACCAAUAGACUAGCACAGGUCUCUUUUUACUGUAUGAAUUAACUUCCUGUGAUACGGAAAUGUGGGACUUUUUUAUUGGCACAUUGAAAUAAAAUGUGUAUUUUUAAC